ACACAAGACUUGAAAUAUAGAAACAAAAAUAGAACAUCAAAUGGGUUAUUGAAUUGUAUUUAUCCGCAUAACAAUUUUAUUGCUUUCUAAUGAUUGAGAAGGGAACGUAAAUUUUAUAAAAAUAAGCACGAUAAAUAUAGGAAAAAAAUCGUGCACUGGCAAUAAAACUUUCAUUUCAUGAUUUUAAUUUUGUAUACAUAUGUAUGUAUAUAAUUUCAUUUAUUUACUUAAGAAUUAUAGACUUUUGUCGUGCAGAAAUCUUGUAUAAAUACUGCUCGUUCUCCAAGUUUAUUCACAAUUCAAUUGAACAUUAACUGUUAAAAUGGCGACCUUCAACAAGAUUUUCUUCGUUUGCGUUUUGGUACCCGCCCUAAUAAUGGCGAUCGUCCUACCAGCAGUUACAGCGGAAGAUUCAGCGGAACAUUCAGUUUUGGUGAAGAGGGGUGUCAAUCUUGGGAAAGUUGUGAAAGUGGUCAAACCAAUAGUAAAAACACUACUACCGUUAGUGCCGUUAGCGCUCUCUGGCUAAAUCGAAACGGAACUGGAAUCUUUAUUAUAUUAAAAUUACCCUUGUCAAAUUUCUACAAUAAAUGUUACGAGCAUAUAUAAACAA